rnacentral:lncRNA from 1 species
UUCCAAUUCCAACUCCAACUCCAACCUCCGUAGCAACAACAACAAUCAAAAAUAUCGCAAAAUGGAUUUCCCAUUCAACCAUGGCCGUAACUCCUCAAACGUUACCUCACACUCAUCACCACACCCAAGAGACGACACCGAAGACCACAUUCCCCACCAGCACACCUCCUCCCCCUACAACCAACCACCGCCGCCGCAUCAUCAUCAUCAACCACCACCGCCAUUCUACAACGACUCAUACCCACCACCACAACUACCUCACCAGCCAGAAACUCAAGUCUUCCACACUGGACACGUGUCCCGUGACGACUUCAGUUACCCUGCUCCACCUCCGCCUCAACCUCAUAACUACGGUGGAUACCCACCUGCACCCCCAUCCAUACCUGAUCACUCCUCCACCCCAUUCCCUAACGCUACUGUUCAUCACGUUUCUCACGAAUCACAUCACCCUCAUUUUCCAACCACCGUUCACCACGUCAGCCAUGAGGUGUCACCCAUCGGUCAUCCUAUCUCCUCCAACAAACCUACUUUCAAGAUCCUCACCAAAGCUUCCCCGAAUCACUCUCUCACUAUCCGUCGCGGCGAAGUGGUUCUCGCACCCUCCGAUCCCUCAGAUCAGCAUCAGGUAAAGUCUUUUUGUUAGAAAUUGUUUGUAGAUCUUUCU